GACGAACCGAGCGAACGUUAUUCGGAAUCACUGGGCUUAAAGGGCGCGUAGGCGGGCCAUCAAGUCAGGGGUGAAAGCCCCCAGCUCAACUGGGGAAGUGCCUCUGAUACUGGUGGCCUCGAGGGAGGUAGGGGCGUGCGGAACUUCCGGUGGAGCGGUGAAAUGCGUAGAUAUCGGAAGGAACACCGGUGGCGAAAGCGGCGCGCUGGACCUCUUCUGACGCUGAGGCGCGAAAGCCAGGGGAGCGAACGGG
rnacentral:rRNA from 1 species